GUACACUCCUGCGGGAGGCAGCAGUGAGGAAUAUUGGACAAUGGGUGGAAGCCUGAUCCAGCCAUCCCGCGUGCAGGAAGACGGCCCUAUGGGUUGUAAACUGCUUUUAUCUGGGGAUAAACCUACUUACGUGUAAGUAGCUGAAGGUACCAGAAGAAUAAGCACCGGCUAACUCCGUGCCAGCAGCCGCGGUAAUACGGAGGGUGCAAGCGUUAUCCGGAUUUAUUGGGUUUAAAGGGUCCGUAGGCGGACUGAUAAGUCAGUGGUGAAAUCCGACAGCUUAACUGUCGAACUGCCAUUGAUACUGUUAGUCUUGAGUAAGGUUGAAGUGGCUGGAAUAAGUAGUGUAGCGGUGAAAUGCAUAGAUAUUACUUAGAACACCAAUUGCGAAGGCAGGUCACUAAGUCUUAACUGACGCUGAUGGACGAAAGCGUGGGGAGCGAACAGGAUUAGAAACCCGAGUAGUCCCAUGAU
rnacentral:rRNA from 1 species